AAUGAACGUUGGCGGCGUGGAUUAGGCAUGCAAGUCGAGCGAGAAUCGUAGCAAUACGAGGACAGCGGCGAAAGGGAGAGGAACACGUGGAUACGUACCCUCGGGUUCAGGAUAGCCAUGGGAAACUAUGGGUAAUACUGAAUAACAUCUCCGGAUCAAAGGUGUGAUUCCGCCCGGGGAGCGGUCCGCGUCCUAUUAGCUUGUUGGUGAGGUAACGGCUCACCAAGGCAAAGAUGGGUAUGGGGUGUGAGAGCAUGCCCCCACUCACUGGGACUGAGACACUGCCCAGACACCUACGGGUGGCUGCAGUCGAGAAUCUUCGGCAAUGGGGGAAACCCUGACCGAGCGACGCCGCGUGCGGGAUGAAGGCCUUCGGGUUGUAAACCGCUGUCGGAGGGGAGGAAAUGCCGGUGGGUUCUCCCAUCGGUUUGACCUAGCCCCAGAGGAAGGACGGGCUAAGUUCGUGCCAGCCGCCGCUGUAA
rnacentral:rRNA from 1 species